AAGAGAUCGGGAUAACACCUGGAAACAGAUGCUAAUACCGGAUAACAACAGAUGAUGCCUAUCAACUGUUUAAAAGAUGGUUCUGCUAUCACUCUGGAUGGACCUGCGGUGCAUUAGCUAGUUGGUAGGGUAACGGCCUACCAAGGCGAUGAUGCAUAGCCGAGUUGAGAGACUGAUCGGCCACAUUGGGACUGAGACACGGCCCAAACUCCUACGGGAGGCAGCAGU
rnacentral:rRNA from 1 species